rnacentral:rRNA from 1 species
GACGAACGCUGGCGGCGUGCUUAACACAUGCAAGUCGAACGGAAAGGCCCUGCUUUUGUGGGGUGCUCGAGUGGCGAACGGGUGAGUAACACGUGAGUAACCUGCCCUUGACUUUGGGAUAACUUCAGGAAACUGGGGCUAAUACCGGAUAGGAGCUCCUGCUGCAUGGUGGGGGUUGGAAAGUUUCGGCGGUUGGGGAUGGACUCGCGGCUUAUCAGCUUGUUGGUGGGGUAGUGGCUUACCAAGGCUUUGACGGGUAGCCGGCCUGAGAGGGUGACCGGCCACAUGGGGACUGAGAUACGGCCCAGACUCCUACGGGAGGCAGCAGUGGGGAAUAUUGCACAAUGGGCGGAAGCCUGAUGCAGCAACGCCGGGUGCGGGAGGACGGCCUUCGGGUUGUAAACCGCUUUCGCCUGUGACGAAGCGUGAGGGACGGUAAUGGGUAAAGAAGCACCGACUAACUACGU